GUGCUCACUUCAGCAGCACAUGCGCUAAAAUUGGAAUGACACAGAGAAGAUUAGCAUGGCCGCUGAGCAAGGAUGACAUGCACAUUUGUGAACUGUUCCAUAAAAAA
ensembl:snRNA RNU6-884P RNA, U6 small nuclear 884, pseudogene